rnacentral:misc_RNA from 1 species
GUGGAAUAUGACUCUUCUUCUUGUUUGGAACUGGAGGAGGAGGUGGGCUUGGCAAGGGUUUGCUGCCUAGUUUUCUCAUCUUCAUUUCUGCGUUGACCUCAGUCAUCUGCACGGACAAGAUGGAAGCUAUGAAUGCAAGAACUACGAGGAAUCGGAAGGAGAAAGAUAGACCCAUUUUGAUUAUUGGCUAUGAAAUUUGGCUGUUAG